UACGUAGGGUGCAAGCGUUGUCCGGAAUUAUUGGGCGUAAAGAGCUCGUAGGCGGUCUGUCACGUCGGCUGUGAAAACCUAGGGCUCAACCCUGGGCCUGCAGCCGAUACGGGCAGACUAGAAUUCGGUAGGGGAGACUGGAAUUCCUGGUGUAGCGGUGAAAUGCGCAGAUAUCAGGAGGAACACCGGUGGCGAAGGCGGGUCUCCGGGCCGAUAUUGACGCUGAGGAGCGAAAGCGUGGGGAGCGAACAGG
rnacentral:rRNA from 1 species